rnacentral:rRNA from 1 species
AGUGAACGCUGGCGGUAGACCUAACACAUGCGAGUCGAACGGCAGCACAGUAAGAGCUUGCUCUUACGGGUGGCGAGUGGCGGACGGGUGAGGAAUACAUCGGAAUCUACUUUUUCGUGGGGGAUAACGUAGAGAAACUUACGCUAAUACCGCAUACGACCUACGGGUGAAAGCAGGGGAUCUUCGGACCUUGCGCGAUUGAAUGAGCCGAUGUCGGAUUAGCUAGUUGGCGGGGUAAAGGCCCACCAAGGCGACGAUCCGUAGCUGGUCUGAGAGGAUGAUCAGCCACACUGGAACUGAGACACGGUCCAGACUCCUACGGGAGGCAGCAGUGGGGAAUAUUGGACAAUGGGCGCAAGCCUGAUCCAGCCAUACCGCGUGGGUGAAGAAGGCCUUCGGGUUGUAAAGCCCUUUUGUUGGGAAAGAAAAGCAGCAGGUUAAUACCCCGCUGUUCUGACGGUACCCAAAGAAUAAGCACCGGCUAACUUCGUG